UACGUAGGUGGCAAGCGUUGUCCGGAUUUACUGGGCGUAAAGAGCGCGCAGGCGGUCGUUCAAGUCGCGUGUGAAAGCCCCCGGCUCAACUGGGGAGGGUCACGCGAUACUGAUCGACUCGAAGGCAGGAGAGGGUAGUGGAAUUCCCGGUGUAGUGGUGAAAUGCGUAGAUAUCGGGAGGAACACCGGUGGCGAAGGCGGGUCUCUGGGCAGUAACUGACGCUGAGGCGCGAAAGCGUGGGGAGCAAACAGG
rnacentral:rRNA from 1 species